rnacentral:rRNA from 1 species
CCUACGGGAGGCAGCAGUGGGGAAUAUUGCACAAUGGGGGAAACCCUGAUGCAGCGACGCCGCGUGAGUGAAGAAGUAAUUCGUUAUGUAAAGCUCUAUCAGCAGGGAAGAAAAUGACGGUACCUGAGUAAGAAGCCCCGGCUAACUACGUGCCAGCAGCCGCGGUAAUACGUAGGGGGCAAGCGUUAUCCGGAUUUGCUGGGUGUAAAGGGAGCGUAGACGGGAGUGCAAGUCUGGAGUGAAAGGCGGAGGCUCAACCCCCGGACUGCUCUGGAAACUGUACGGCUGGAGUGCAGGAGAGGGAAGUGGAAUGCCUAGUGUAGCGGUGAAAUGCGGAGAUAUUAGGAGGAACACCAGUGGCGAAGGCGGCUGACUGGACUGUAACUGACGUUGAGGCUCGAAAGCGUGGGGAGCAAACAGGAUUAGAUACCCCUGUAGUC